UACAUGGGGUGCAAACGUUGCUCGGAAUUAUUGGGCGUAAAGCGCGCGUAGGCGGUUACUCAAGUCGGAUGUGGAAGCCCUCGGCUUAACUGAGGAAGUGCAUCCGAAACUGGCAGGCUAGAGUACUAAAGAGGGUCGCGGAAUUCCCGGUGUAGAGGUGAAAUUCGUAGAUAUCGGGAGGAACACCGGUGGCGAAGGCGGCGACCUGGGUAGAUACUGACGCUGAGGUGCGAAAGCGUGGGGAGCAAACAGG
rnacentral:rRNA from 1 species